GGGGUACGGUCUGGCCGGUCGGUCGGGGUUGGGGAAGAGGACGUAGGUGUGGAUCGGUCAGUUGAUAUAAGCAUAGAGAAGCAUUGAUGAGUAUUGAUUGGAAAGUAACGGAAGAUGCAACGGUUUAAGAUAAUUAAUGGUCAGUUAUGGAUAUAAAGCCUAUAAAUAGGGGAUCACGGGUCAGGUAAAACUAUCUUGUUCUGAUUUUAAUCACUCAUCUCACCAAUUCCUUGUCUAACUUGAGCGUCAGAGUGUUCUCUUUGCAGGACCCCCGGUCAGCAGUCGAGGUCACGAACCGAUAAGACAGGUUGGACGAUCGGGAGCAAGAGUGAGGGUUAGGCCGGACGAUUUCGUGUCCCAAAUACUGAAACACCAAGGAUGAGAUAUCUCCAGCUCUAUUUUCUUAGUAAUAAUUUUGAUAUACUUUAAAAAGUAU
rnacentral:lncRNA from 1 species